AACGAACGCUGGCGGCAUGCCUAACACAUGCAAGUCGAACGAGACCUUCGGGUCUAGUGGCGCACGGGGGCGUAACGCGUGGGAACCUGCCCUUAGGUUCGGAAUAACUCCCCGAAAGGGGUGCUAAUACCGGAUAAUGUCUUCGGACCAAAGAUUUAUCGCCCUUGGAUGGGCCCGCGUUGGAUUAGCUAGUUGGUAGGGUAAAAGCCUACCAAGGCGACGAUCCAUAGCUGGUCUGAGAGGAUGAUCAGCCACACUGGGACUGAGACACGGCCCAGACUCCUACGGGAGGCAGCAGUGGGGAAUAUUGGACAAUGGGCGAAAGCCUGAUCCAGCACUGCCGCGUGAGUGAUGAAGGCCUUAGGGUUGUAAAGCUCUUUUACCCGGGAUGAUAAUGACAGUACCGGGAGAAUAAGCCCCGGCUAACUCCGUG
rnacentral:rRNA from 1 species